rnacentral:rRNA from 1 species
AGUUUGAUCCUGGCUCAGGAUGAACGCUGACAGAAUGCUUAACACAUGCAAGUCUACUUGAAUUUGGGUUUUUUAACUUCGAUUUGGGUGGCGGACGGGUGAGUAACGCGUAAAGAACUUGCCUCACAGCUAGGGACAACAUUUGGAAACGAAUGCUAAUACCUAAUAUUAUGAUUAUAGGGCAUCCUAGAAUUAUGAAAGCUAUAUGCGCUGUGAGAGAGCUUUGCGUCCCAUUAGCUAGUUGGAGAGGUAACGGCUCACCAAGGCGAUGAUGGGUAGCCGGCCUGAGAGGGUGAACGGCCACAAGGGGACUGAGACACGGCCCUUACUCCUACGGGAGGCAGCAGUGGGGAAUAUUGGACAAUGGACCGAGAGUCUGAUCCAGCAAUUCUGUGUGCACGAUGACGUUUUUCGGAAUGUAAAGUGCUUUCAGUUGGGAAGAAAAAAAUGACGGUACCAACAGAAGAAGUGACGGCUAAAUACGUGCCAGCAGCCGCGGU